UACAACAUAGAAUUAAUGCAUUAUAUCCCAUUAUAACUCCAUAGUUAAUUGUGCUCACGCUAUAGUAAUACUAGGAUGGGCGAUCGCCUAGGAGGGCCUAGUGUUUUAC
rfam:Picea glauca, whole genome shotgun sequence.